UACGGAGGAUCCAAGCGUUAUCCGGAUUCAUUGGGUUUAAAGGGUGCGUAGGCGGAAUGAUAAGUCAGUGGUGAAAGCCUGCAGCUUAACUGCAGAACUGCCAUUGAUACUGUCAAUCUUGAGUACAUUUUGAUGUGGGCGGAAUGUGUCAUGUAGCGGUGAAAUGCUUAGAUAUGACACAGAACACCGAUUGCGAAGGCAGCUCACAAAACUGUAAACUGACGCUGAGGCACGAAAGCGUGGGUAUCAAACAGG
rnacentral:rRNA from 1 species